CUGGCAGUCAGAGGCGAUGAAGGACGUGCUAAUCUGCGAUAAGCGUCGGUAAGGUGAUAUGAACCGUUAUAACCGGCGAUUUCCGAAUGGGGAAACCCAGUGUGUUUCGACACACUAUCAUUAACUGAAUCCAUAGGUUAAUGAGGCGAACCGGGGGAACUGAAACAUCUAAGUACCCCGAGGAAAAGAAAUCAACCGAGAUUCCCCCAGUAGCGGCGAGCGAACGGGGAGCAGCCCAGAGCCUGAAUCAGUAUGUGUGUUAGUGGAAGCGUCUGGAAAGGCGCGCGAUACAGGGUGACAGCCCCGUACACAAAAAUGCACAUGCUGUGAGCUCGAUGAGUAGGGCGGGACACGUGGUAUCCUGUCUGAAUAUGGGGGGACCAUCCUCCAAGGCUAAAUACUCCUGACUGACCGAUAGUGAACCAGUACCGUGAGGGAAAGGCGAAAAGAACCCCGGCGAGGGGAGUGAAAAAGAACCUGAAACCGUGUACGUACAAGCAGUGGGAGCACGCUUAGGCGUGUGACUGCGUACCUUUUGUAUAAUGGGUCAGCGACUUAUAUUCUGUAGCAAGGUUAACCGAAUAGGGGAGCCGAAGGGAAACCGAGUCUUAACUGGGCGUUAAGUUGCAGGGUAUAGACCCGAAACCCGGUGAUCUAGCCAUGGGCAGGUUGAAGGUUGGGUAACACUAACUGGAGGACCGAACCGACUAAUGUUGAAAAAUUAGCGGAUGACUUGUGGCUGGGGGUGAAAGGCCAAUCAAACCGGGAGAUAGCUGGUUCUCCCCGAAAGCUAUUUAGGUAGCGCCUCGUGAAUUCAUCUCCGGGGGUAGAGCACUGUUUCGGCAAGGGGGUCAUCCCGACUUACCAACCCGAUGCAAACUGCGAAUACCGGAGAAUGUUAUCACGGGAGACACACGGCGGGUGCUAACGUCCGUCGUGAAGAGGGAAACAACCCAGACCGCCAGCUAAGGUCCCAAAGUCAUGGUUAAGUGGGAAACGAUGUGGGAAGGCCCAGACAGCCAGGAUGUUGGCUUAGAAGCAGCCAUCAUUUAAAGAAAGCGUAAUAGCUCACUGGUCGAGUCGGCCUGCGCGGAAGAUGUAACGGGGCUAAACCAUGCACCGAAGCUGCGGCAGCGACGCUGAUGCGUUGUUGGGUAGGGGAGCGUUCUGUAAGCCUGUGAAGGUGUGCUGUGAGGCAUGCUGGAGGUAUCAGAAGUGCGAAUGCUGACAUAAGUAACGAUAAAGCGGGUGAAAAGCCCGCUCGCCGGAAGACCAAGGGUUCCUGUCCAACGUUAAUCGGGGCAGGGUGAGUCGACCCCUAAGGCGAGGCCGAAAGGCGUAGUCGAUGGGAAACAGGUUAAUAUUCCUGUACUUGGUGUUACUGCGAAGGGGGGACGGAGAAGGCU
rnacentral:rRNA from 1 species